rfam:Tupaia chinensis contig222637, whole genome shotgun sequence.
GUGCUUGCUUCGGCAGCACAUACACUAAAAUUGGAAUGAUACAGAGAAGAUUAGCAUGGCCCUUUUGCAAGGAUGACCUGCAAAUUCAUAAAGCAUCCCAUUUUUUA